GGAGGUGCAUGAGGCAGAGUGAGGGGCACUGCAGUACAGCAGGGACUGAAUUCCUUUCCCAAGUGCCCCAGAAGCAGGAAUUGGGGAAUUCCUGCACAGAGAUUUGGGGGAGCAACCAGACCCCUCAUUUUCUCUUUGUUCUGCCCUUCUCUUCCCACUGUGGGAUCUGUUUGAAACUGGCCCUGGGGGUUGGGAAGGGGAUGGGGGGUGACUCAUUAACCUCCCCCGCAUCUAUUCAGCCCCUUGCCCCAAAGUGACGGAGAGGCUCUAAGUGUAAAGUGGCGUGGAUGUGACCACACUCACACCAGUCAUUACACAGUAAAGACUUGUGAGGUGAGGCAGCUGUCUGGUCUGUGAGAGGCCUGGGGAUGCCCCCCAUCCCUCAAUCCAUCUAUCUCCCAUCUGGUCUGUCAGAGGCCAACAUGACCCCCAGGAACUGUGAAAUUGGAACAAUACUCUUUGGACUUAACGGAUGCAAUCAUUUGAUAUUUGGAAUGAAACCAUAGAAGGGGGUCAGGUUGCCGUAGGGCUAGAGGAGAGUCCAUCGGCUCAGAGACCCAUUAGAACAUCCCAUUCAGUCCCCUCUCAUUUACAAAUGCAGGUUAUAAAGUUAUGCUAAAAAUUUCAUCCCAGUGGGCCCUCACAAGUCUUCUACACUCAGGGUAUGCCUUUCCCCACACUUGCAAUGCAGUCACUUCUGGGGAGGGGCAUAGCAGCACUUUAACAGCAUACAGCAAGGCUAGACAGCCGUUGAAAGACAUCAACUGAAACUGCAGGGGGCUUUUGAUUGACGCAGUGGGAUUAGCAGAGUUAGAACUUGGCUGGGACAAGAGAUUUCACAACCUGCCUUCUGGGGAAAGUGCCAUGGGAUCCCUGUCUGCAGCAGCUGCACCCCGGGGACUGCUUCAGAGGGAACGAGCACCCUCUACUGAAUCACCUCACCAUUUUCUCCUGGAGCGCAGGCUGGGUGUGAGUUGGCCCUGUCCUGCUCAGCUUGGAGAGCUGAGGGCAGAUCACAACCUGAGUUGAAAUGGCUGCUUCAAAAAUAAGCUUGUUCUGGCUUCAUGCUGUUGGUACCAGGAAAUCUGCCCCCUGCCUUUCUCACCUGGAGCCAGUCACGUGCAGGGCUGAUGAACACGUGGCUCUUCAACGACCAUCCAGUCAGAUAAAAGAAACACGGCUCAUCAUGGGCAGAGUCUGGCUGGGAGGCAGAGGAGCAUCCUGGUAGCAAAUGCCCGAGCUGCCAACUUCCCAGGUUCCCCAGAGAAGAGAGCAUAAGGGAUUAAUAACGUCACAGCGCCCCCCUUCCCAUUGGGCCCUGAUCCUGCAACGAGCCCCUGCACAGCUCAUCACAAGAUGGGGUCUUCGUUUCCUGGAGCUUGGAGAAAGCCGAGGCCCAGGGGCUGCACCGUUGACAGGAGGCCACUAGAGGGAGCUGCAGAUUCAGCCAAGACGCACCUGGUCCCAGCACCGGCACCGGGCUGCAGGUAACCAGGCCAAGGGGCAGGAUGGGGCCGUGCUGUCUGGGAAGCAGCUCCCAGCAGGGACCGGCAACGCUCCAUGAACCCGGCUGGCAGCCCGAGCUUGCGGGGGGAUAAAUGCCACUGAACCCCCGCCCCACCAUCUCACUAGGGCUGCCCCAGUUCCUGCCCAGACAGGCUCCUUCCUGCCAUGCUGUGGGCCCCAGGCCUUCAGCCCGCAGGGGAGAGCCCCCCCAUUGGUGAGCCCCAUAAGCAAAGGGCUCUCAGCCCAGCUGGAGCAAUUCAUGGACCAGUGGAAGGAGACAUCCUGUCUGCAGCUGAGAGCACUGGGGGUUGUAAUGGGCUUGGCACUGCCCUGCUUCCCUUCCAGCCAGAGGCACCCCACACUCCCACCCUCGCACCUAACUCAGCAUUGGGGCACAGUGCCCCCCGCUGGUGAGAGUGCCGCUCACUCACCAGCCUCACAAAAUCGUAG